rnacentral:rRNA from 1 species
UACGUAGGCAGCGAGCGUUGUUCGGAAUUACUGGGCGUAAAGAGUGUGUAGGCGGUGCUCUAAGUCUGUCGUGAAAAUCUCCAGGCUUAACCUGGAACAGUCGGAGGGGACUGCCGGGCUAGAGGACGGGAGAGGAGCGCGGAAUUCCCGGUGUAGCGGUGAAAUGCGUAGAUAUCGGAAGGAACAUCAGUGGCGAAAGCGACUGCCUGGACCAAUACUGACGCUCAUGUGCGAAAGCGUG